rnacentral:rRNA from 1 species
CCACGCUGUAAACGCUGUCGAUUUGGGGAUUGGGCUUAAUGCUUGGUGCCCGUAGCUAACGUGAUAAAUCGACCGCCUGGGGAGUACGGCCGCAAGGUUAAAACUCAAAUGAAUUGACGGGGGCCCGCACAAGCGGUGGAGCAUGUGGUUUAAUUCGAUGCAACGCGAAGAACCUUACCUACUCUUGACAUCCUAAGAAUUUUCUAGAGAUAGAAAAGUGCCUUCGGGAACUUAGAGACAGGUGCUGCAUGGCUGU